rnacentral:rRNA from 1 species
UACGAAGGGGGCUAGCGUUGCUCGGAAUCACUGGGCGUAAAGGGCGCGUAGGCGGCCGAUUAAGUCGGGGGUGAAAGCCUGUGGCUCAACCACAGAAUUGCCCUCGAUACUGGUUGGCUUGAGACCGGAAGAGGACAGCGGAACUGCGAGUGUAGAGGUGAAAUCGUAGAUAUUCGCAAGAACACCAGUGGCGAAGGCGGCUGUCUGGUCCGGUUCUGACGCUGAGGCGCGAAAGCGUGGGGAGCAAACAGG